AGCUUAUUUUGCGCAGGCGGAACUCGACCGCCCACUCAAGCGAUGAUCGGUUUCAUCGACGAUCAAAGGGCUGUUUACGGUGUCGAGUCGAUCUGCAGGGUGCUGCCGAUUGCACCG
rfam:Thioclava sp. SK-1 scaffold34_cov1906_read209, whole genome shotgun sequence.